GUGAAAGUUGUCAGUUUUAUAAUGGGACCCUAUGGGAAUCUGAAUUAGUGUAAUAUAACCUUUAAAAAGCACAUUUACUGCAAUGUCAAGGUCACAUGGAUUCGUCUGCAAGCGAGACAAGUAGAAAAUGAAUUUUAAUGAAUGUUUUGAUGAUUUGGGUGCUAAAAUAGAUGAGAGGUGUCAAUAUUUUGGUCCAAAUGGAUGUUUUAGGUGGUUUUAGACGGUUCCGGAUGGGUGGGGGACCUGGUAUGGACAAGCCUGACCGUUUGUCCUUGAGCCGUAGAUGGUCAACAAUCUGCUAGCUGUCUUGCUCUGACUGGUGCACUGGACAUGAUUUCAAUAGUCAGCCAGACCAUGAUUGAGCUUAAGGAUUGUGCUGCGGAUGCAGCCUGUGCAGUUCCGGGAGAAAGUCACUGUCUCGGGCAAUGCGGUCUGGUAUCAGGUCUGGAUGAUCCUUGCCUGACUGCGGGUUUGUGUGCACCUCAAUCCGACUCUGUGUCCUGAACAGAGGCCGCAGUGGUGCAGCGCUUGUGGACGAUCCAUCAACAUCCUGAAAGGUCAACACUACACCAAGCUGGGAAAAUUGAUCCUGAUAGUCAUCCCCAGGCCUGACCGUUUGUCCUUGAGCCGUAGAUGGUCAACAAUCUGCUAGCUGUCUUGCUCUGACUGGUGCACUGGACAUGAUUUCAAUAGUCAGCCAGACCAUGAUUGAGCUUAAGGAUUGUGCUGCGGAUGCAGCCUGUGCAGUUCCGGGAGAAAGUCACUGUCUCGGGCAAUGCGGUCUGGUAUCAGGUCUGGAUGAUCCUUGCCUGACUGCGGGUUUGUGUGCACCUCAAUCCGACUCUGUGUCCUGAACAGAGGCCGCAGUGGUGCAGCGCUUGUGGACGAUCCAUCAACAUCCUGAAAGGUCAACACUACACCAAGCUGGGAAAAUUGAUCCUGAUAGUCAUCCCCAGGUAGUGGAAUGAAUGUUCACUGAACUACAGAGGAAUCACACCCAAAUGACUUUCCUGCCACGACAUUAGUGUGGCCACUCGCGUAGGAAUUCCUUAGCAAACAUGCUCUUUUGCAUGGUGACUGUGGACAUUUUUGCAAAACUUACGCUUUCAACACUGGAUUUUAAAGAGAAUACUUAAUAAAAUGUCGCUAACAGGACUUAUUUAUAUGAGAGAGACUAUCUGGAUGCGCAUUAAGUGUCACUUUGUGUCGUAAGCUGUUGAAGGAGCGAUUUGCGCCUUUUUAAGUGUUAAAUUUGGGUAGCCGGCUUGUAUCAGCUUGAAAGCUGAAAAUUAUGCCUCUCAUCAUAAUAGCAUUAAUUUUUGUAAUUGCAAUGUGUAUGUUUAGAUUGUAAGUGAAGCUUUUAAUAAUAAUUUUCUUAAUAAACAUGAU